UACAGAGGUGGCAAGCGUUGUUCGGAAUCACUGGGCGUAAAGGGAGCGUAGGCGGAUGUUUAAGUUGGAUGUUUAAAACCGGGGCCUAACCUCGGAGCGGCAUCCAAAACUGGGCAUCUUGAAUAGGUCAGAGGCUGGUGGAAUUGGAGGUGUAGCGGUGGAAUGCGUAGAGAUCUCCAAGAACACCUAUUGCGAAGGCAGCCAGCUGGGACCAUAUUGACGCUGAGGCUCGAAAGCAUGGGGAGCAAACAGG
rnacentral:rRNA from 1 species